GCCGGGCGUGGUGGCGCACGCCUGUAAUCCCAGUCACUCAGGAGGCUGAGGCAGGAGACUUGCUUGAACCCAGGAGGCAUAGGGUUCAGUGAGCCAAGACUGCACCACUGCACUCCAGCCUAGGUGACAGUGUGAGACUCUGUCUCAG
ensembl:misc_RNA Metazoa_SRP Metazoan signal recognition particle RNA